GACUUAACCUUUUGAAAAAUGCCAUGUUCAUAAGCUAGGAAUGGCUGGACUGUAGAUUGAAGGAUGGAGACCAGUGGCAAACCCUCGACAGCACAGAUUGUGUUGCUAGCCACUAGCUCGGCUCUGACUGCUGUCUUAUACAGCAUAUACAAGAGGAAGUCGAGCCAUGUAGCGAGAUUAAGGGAGGCCAAGAAGAUGCCAUUAAAUCCAGAUCU